UACGUAGGGUGCAAGCGUUAAUCGGAAUUACUGGGCGUAAAGCGUGCGCAGGCGGUUGUGCAAGACAGAUGUGAAAUCCCCGGGCUCAACCUGGGAACUGCAUUUGUGACUGUACGGCUGGAGUGCGGCAGAGGGGGAUGGAAUUCCGCGUGUAGCAGUGAAAUGCGUAGAUAUGCGGAGGAACACCGAUGGCGAAGGCAAUCCCCUGGGCCUGCACUGACGCUCAUGCACGAAAGCGUGGGGAGCAACAGG
rnacentral:rRNA from 1 species